rnacentral:rRNA from 1 species
CCGCUACCUGGCGACAGGACGCCAAUCCCCAAAACCUCUCUCAGUUCGGAUCGAAGUCUGCAACCCGACUUCGUGAAGCUGGAUUCGCUAGUAAUCGCGCAUCAGCCAUGGCGCGGUGAAUACGUUCCCGGGCCUUGUACACACCGCCCGUCAAGCCAUGAAAGCCGGGGGUACCUGAAGUACGUAACCGCAAGGAUCGUCCUAGGGUAAAACUGGUAAUUGGGGCUAAGUCGUAACAAGGUAGC